rnacentral:rRNA from 1 species
UACGUAGGGCGCAAGCGUUGUCCGGAAUUAUUGGGCGUAAAGAGCUCGUAGGCGGCCUGUUGCGUCCGCUGUGAAAACUCGGGGCUUAACCCCGAGCCUGCAGUGGAUACGGGCGGACUAGAGGUAGGUAGGGGAGAAUGGAAUUCCCGGUGUAGCGGUGAAAUGCGCAGAUAUCGGGAGGAACACCGGUGGCGAAGGCGGUUCUCUGGGCCUUACCUGACGCUGAGGAGCGAAAGCGUGGGGAGCGAACAGG